GUGCAUGGUUGUCGUCAGCUCGUGUCGUGAGAUGUUGGGUUAAGUCCCGCAACGAGCGCAACCCUUAAGCUUAGUUGCCAGCAUUAAGUUGGGCACUCUAAGUUGACUGCCGGUGACAAACCGGAGGAAGGUGGGGAUGACGUCAAAUCAUCAUGCCCCUUAUGAUUUGGGCUACACACGUGCUACAAUGGACAAUACAAAGGGCAGCUAAACCGCGAGGUCAUGCAAAUCCCAUAAAGUUGUUCUCAGUUCGGAUUGUAGUCUGCAACUCGACUACAUGAAGCUGGAAUCGCUAGUAAUCGUAGAUCAGCAUGCUACGGUGAAUACGUUCCCGGGUCUUGUACACACCGCCCGUCACACCACGAGAGUCUGUAACACCCGAAGCCGGUGGAGUAACCAUUUAUGGAGCUAGCCGUCGAAGGUGGGACAAAUGAUUGGGGUGAAGUCGUAACAAGGUAGCCGUAUCGGAAGGUGCGGUUGGAUCACCUC
rnacentral:rRNA from 1 species